UUUAUGGAGAGUUUGAUCCUGGCUCAGGACGAACGCUGGCGGCGUGCUUAACACAUGCAAGUCGAACGGAAAGGCCUAGCUUGCUAGGUACUCGAGUGGCGAACGGGUGAGUAACACGUGGGUGAUCUGCCUCGUACUUCGGGAUAAGCCUGGGAAACUGGGUCUAAUACUGGAUAGGACCAUGCUUUAGUGUGUGUGGUGGAAAGUUUUUUCGGUACGAGAUGAGCCCGCGGCCUAUCAGCUUGUUGGUGGGGUAAUGGCCUACCAAGGCGUCGACGGGUAGCCGGCCUGAGAGGGUGGACGGCCACAUUGGGACUGAGAUACGGCCCAGACUCCUACGGGAGGCAGCAGUGGGGAAUAUUGCACAAUGGGCGCAAGCCUGAUGCAGCGACGCCGCGUGGGGGAUGACGGCCUUCGGGUUGUAAACCUCUUUCGCUAGGGACGAAGCUUUUUGUGACGGUACCUAGAUAAGAAGCACCGGCUAACUACGUGCCAGCAGCCGCGGUAAUACGUAGGGUGCGAGCGUUGUCCGGAAUUAUUGGGCGUAAAGAGCUCGUAGGUGGUUUGUCGCGUCGUCUGUGAAAUUCCGGGGCUUAACUUCGGGCGUGCAGGCGAUACGGGCAUAACUUGAGUGCUGUAGGGGAGACUGGAAUUCCUGGUGUAGCGGUGGAAUGCGCAGAUAUCAGGAGGAACACCGAUGGCGAAGGCAGGUCUCUGGGCAGUAACUGACGCUGAGGAGCGAAAGCAUGGGGAGCGAACAGGAUUAGAUACCCUGGUAGUCCAUGCCGUAAACGGUGGGCGCUAGGUGUGAGGGUCUUCCACGACUUUCGUGCCGUAGCUAACGCAUUAAGCGCCCCGCCUGGGGAGUACGGCCGCAAGGCUAAAACUCAAAGGAAUUGACGGGGGCCCGCACAAGCGGCGGAGCAUGUGGAUUAAUUCGAUGCAACGCGAAGAACCUUACCUGGGCUUGACAUAUGCAGGAUCGGCGUAGUGAUACGUUUUCCCUUGUGGUCUGUAUACAGGUGGUGCAUGGUUGUCGUCAGCUCGUGUCGUGAGAUGUUGGGUUAAGUCCCGCAACGAGCGCAACCCUUGUCUUAUGUUGCCAGCACGUGAUGGUGGGGACUCAUGAGAGACUGCCGGGGUUAACUCGGAGGAAGGUGGGGAUGACGUCAAAUCAUCAUGCCCCUUAUGUCCAGGGCUUCACACAUGCUACAAUGGUCGGUACAACGCGCUGCGAGCCUGUGAGGGUGAGCGAAUCGCUGAAAGCCGGCCUCAGUUCGGAUUGGGGUCUGCAACUCGACCCCAUGAAGUCGGAGUCGCUAGUAAUCGCAGAUCAGCAACGCUGCGGUGAAUACGUUCCCGGGCCUUGUACACACCGCCCGUCACGUCAUGAAAGUUGGUAACACCCGAAGCCAGUGGCCUAACCCUUGUGGGGGGAGCUGUCGAAGGUGGGAUCGGCGAUUGGGACGAAGUCGUAACAAGGUAGCCGUACCGGAAGGUGCGGCUGGAUCACCUCCUUU
rnacentral:rRNA from 2 species